GGGGGUGGAUGAGUCCUGGUGGGCUCCGCGGUCUUCAAAACCGUUUGAGGGGUGCUGAGAAGGCGGCCCUGGUGGGUUCGACUCCCAUCCACUCCCG
rnacentral:tRNA from 1 species